rnacentral:rRNA from 1 species
UACGGGGGGGGCAAGCGUUGUUCGGAAUUACUGGGCGUAAAGGGCUCGUAGGCGGCCAACUAAGUCAGACGUGAAAAUCCCUCGGCUUAACCGGGGAACUGCGUCUGAUACUGGAUGGCUUGAGAUUGGGAGAGGGAUGCGGAAUUCCAGGUGUAGCGGUGAAAAUGCGUAGAUAUCUGGAGGAACACCGGUGGCGAAGGCGGAUCUCUGGGCCAUUACUGACGCUGAGGAGCGAAAGCGUGGGGAGCGAACAGG